rnacentral:rRNA from 1 species
AUGGGGCGAAUCACAGUUAACCCUAUUUGCAGUAAAAUAUGGAAACUAGACUGUCCGGCAAAAGUAAAAAAAUUCUUAUGGCGUACGCUAUGUGGUACAAUCCCGUGCAGGGUUACGCUAGCUAAUAGAUAUAUGAAGGUUUCACCCAUAUGCCCAACUUGUUCUGGGGGCUUAGAAGAUACAAAACAUCUGUUUUUCCAGUGUAGUAAAGCAAAGGAGGUCUGGAGAAGGCUGGGUCUGGAUGAUAUUAUUGAAAAAGCUUGCGAGAUUGACCGUACAGGAGAGACGGUGCUGAAGUACUUACUACUCCUACCGGACCAAGAUGAUUUUGGGUACCACAAUAUGCGUGAGAUGAUUGCUAUUUCAUCUUGGUAUCUAUGGUGGGAAAAGCGGAAGCUGGUACACAAUGAGAAAACUCAAAAUGUAUCUCAGACUUCAAUGGAGAUUCUUGCCCUUACCACAAAUUUUGUUAACGCAGCAUCCCCCAAAGCGUCUGUGAAAAAGGAGAGUUGGUCCUGUCCUCCAAGAGAGUUUGUUAAACUUAACAUGGAUGCUUCUUUUGAUCACGAUCUUCUUAGGGGUACUAUGGGAGCGUUCCUUAGAGAUGACAGAGGCAGGUUUAUUGCUGGAGGAAAUGAGAAAAUUGACUUUCGUGCAGAUGUGUUAAUGGUGGAGGCUUUAGCACUCAAAUUUGGCCUAACACUGGCGCAAAGGGCUGGAUGCAAUCGUCUUACCAUAAACUCGGACAAUAUAGAGGUGAUUGAUUCGAUGAAUGAUAGAGGGCAAUCGGCGGGUGUGGCGGUAGCAAUAUUCGAGGAUUGUUUUCAUUAUGCAUGUGAUUUCGUUACUGCUAGAGCACUGUAA